CAGUCGCCACGGGAAUACAGAGGGUGCGAGCGUUAAUCGGAUUUACUGGGCGUAAAGCGUGCGUAGGCGGCUUUUUAAGUCGGAUGUGAAAUCCCUGAGCUUAACUUAGGAAUUGCAUUCGAUACUGGGAAGCUAGAGUAUGGGAGAGGAUGGUAGAAUUCCAGGUGUAGCGGUGAAAUGCGUAGAGAUCUGGAGGAAUACCGAUGGCGAAGGCAGCCAUCUGGCCUAAUACUGACGCUGAGGUACGAAAGCAUGGGGAGCAAACAGGAUUAGAUACCCCCGUAGUCCCUGUCUCUUAUAC
rnacentral:rRNA from 1 species